rnacentral:rRNA from 1 species
AAGACCUUGCGCUUUUGGAGCGGCCGAUGCCUGAUUAGCUUGUUGGUGAGGUAAAAGCUCACCAAGGCUUCGAUCAGUAGCUGGUCUGAGAGGACGACCAGCCACACUGGGACUGAGACACGGCCCAGACUCCUACGGGAGGCAGCAGUGGGGAAUUUUGGACAAUGGGCGCAAGCCUGAUCCAGCCAUGCCGCGUGAGUGAAGAAGGCCUUCGGGUUGUAAAGCUCUUUCAGCCGGGAAGAAAAGGUUGCGACUAAUAAUCGCAAUCCAUGACGGUACCGAAAGAAGAAGCACCGGCUAACUACGUGCCAGCAGCCGCGGUAAUACGUAGGGUGCGAGCGUUAAUCGGAAUUACUGGGCGUAAAGGGUGCGCAGGCGGUUUUGUAAGUCAGAUGUGAAAUCCCCGGGCUUAACCUGGGAACU